UACGGGGGAGCAAGCGUUGUCCGGAUUUACUGGGCGUAAAGAGCGCGCAGGCGGUCAGAUAAGUCGAAUGUGAAAGCCCCGGCUCAACUGGGAGGGUCAUUCGAUACUGUUCGACUCGAAGGCAGGAGAGGGAAGUGGAAUUCCCGGUGUAGUGGUGAAAUGCGUAGAUAUCGGGAGGAACACCAGUGGCGAAGGCGACUUCCUGGCCUGUUCUUGACGCUGAGGCGCGAAAGCUAGGGAGCAAACGGG
rnacentral:rRNA from 1 species